rnacentral:rRNA from 1 species
CUGACACAGGUGCUGCAUUGGCUGUCGUCAGCUCGUGUCGUGUAGAUGUUGGGUUAAGUCCCGUUAACGAGCGCAACCCUUGUCCUUAGUUACCAGCACGUUAUGGUGGGCACUCUAGGAAAAGCUGCCGGUGACAAACCGGAGGAAGGUGGGGAUGACGUCAAGUCAUCAUGGCCCUUACGGCCUGGGCUACACACGUGCUACAAUGGUCGGUACAAAGGGUUGCCAAGCCGCGAGGUGGAGCUAAUCCCAUAAAACCGAUCGUAGUCCGGAUCGCAGUCUGCAACUCGACUGCGUGAAGUCGGAAUCGCUAGUAAUCGUGAAUCAGAAUGUCACGGUGAAUACGUUCCCGGGCCUU